rnacentral:rRNA from 1 species
UAGGGAAUCUUCGGCAAUGGGCGAAAGCCUGACCGAGCAACGCCGCGUGAAUGAUGAAGGCCUUCGGGUUGUAAAAUUCUGUUAUAAGGGAAGAAUGGCUCUAGUAGGAAAUGGCUAGAGUGUGACGGUACCUUAUGAGAAAGCCACGGCUAACUACGUGCCAGCAGCCGCGGUAAUACGUGGGUGGCGAGCGUUAUCCGGAAUUAUUGGGCGUAAAGAGCGCGCAGGUGGUUGUUUAAGUCUGAUGUGAAAGCCGACGGCUUAACCGUGGAGGGUCAUUGGAAACUGGUAGACUUGAGUGCAGAAGAGGGAAGUGGAAUUCCAUGUGUAGCGGUGAAAUGCGUAGAGAUAUGGAGGAACACCAGUGGCGAAGGCGGCUUCCUGGUCUGUAACUGACACUGAGGCGCGAAAGCGUGGGGAGCAAACA